GCGAGAAAACUUUGCAAUGUGCGAAAGCACGACAAGGUUAAUCCGAGUGGUUUCUGCUAAAGAAACCUUUUGUCAGUCCUAGAAACACUAACGAAUAAGGGGUGGGCAAGUUCUGGUGUCAGCCGCCGCGGUAAAACCAGCACCUCAAGUGGUCAGGAUGAUUAUUGGGCCUAAAGCAUCCGUAGCUCGUUUUGUAAGUUUUCGGUUAAAUCCAUGCGCUUAACGUAUGGGCUGCCGGGAAUACUGCAUAACUAGGAAGUGGGAGAGGUAGACGGUACUCGGUAGGAAGGGGUAAAAUCCUUUGAUCUAUUGAUGACCACCUGCGGCGAAGGCGGUCUACCAGAACACGUUCGACGGUG
rnacentral:rRNA from 1 species